rnacentral:rRNA from 1 species
UACACACCGCCCGUCAACACCAUGGGAGUUGGUUUCACCCGAAGGUGGUGCGCUAACCCGCAAGGGAGGCAGCCAACCACGGUGGGAUCAGCGACUGGGGUG